rnacentral:rRNA from 1 species
UCUUCCCUCUUUCUUCGUGCUUAACACAUGCAAGUCGAACGAUGAAGCCCAGCUUGCUGGGUGGAUUAGUGGCGAACGGGUGAGUAACACGUGAGUAACCUGCCCUUAACUCUGGGAUAAGCCUGGGAAACUGGGUCUAAUACCGGAUAGGAGCGUCCACCGCAUGGUGGGUGUUGGAAAGAUUUAUCGGUUUUGGAUGGACUCGCGGCCUAUCAGCUUGUUGGUGAGGUAAUGGCUCACCAAGGCGACGACGGGUAGCCGGCCUGAGAGGGUGACCGGCCACACUGGGACUGAGACACGGCCCAGACUCCUACGGGAGGCAGCAGUGGGGAAUAUUGCACAAUGGGCGCAAGCCUGAUGCAGCGACGCCGCGUGAGGGAUGACGGCCUUCGGGUUGUAAACCUCUUUCAGUAGGGAAGAAGCGAAAGUGACGGUACCUGCAGAAGAAGCACCGGCUAACUACGUG